CCAGGGGUGAGUAAUGUAUAUGUAACAUGCCUUCUACUAGGGGAUAACACUGGGAAACGACUGCUAAUACCCUAUAUUCCUUAUUACCACAAGUGUGAAAGGGAAAGAUUUUUUGGUUUAAGAUUGGACUAUAUUGUAUCAGCUAGUUGGUGAUGUAAUGGACUACCAAGGCUAUGACGCAUAACUGGUUUGAGAGGAUGAUCCGUCACACUGGAACUGAGACACGGACCAGACUCCUACGGGAGGCAGCAGUGGGGAAUAUUGCACAAUGGGCGAAACCCUGAUGCAGCAACGCCGCGUGGAGGAUGACACAUUUCGGUGCGUAAACUCCUUUUAUAUGGGAAGAUAAUGACGGUACCAUAUGAAUAAGCACCGGCUAACUCCGUGCC
rnacentral:rRNA from 1 species